GGGGAGACUGAUACACAACUGGAGCUUCGUGGAGGUUAUCUCCACACCAGUCUCUGCUAUUGAAAAAGUAGCAGUCUUUUAGCUACCAAAAGACUUCUGCUAUGUAGUAAGAAAAAUGCAUGAUCGAUGGAGUAUAAAGGAAUUUCAGUUACCAGAAAAAGAAGGUAUCCUUAUAUCUAACCAGUACCUGGACUAUCAUGCAGCUACACAGUUGUUGAACUGUGCCUUGAAAAUCAGGUGCUGCAGGGGAGGAGGAGAGAGUAAGCUUAGGCAUCACAGCAUCCCCAUUAGCAAGUAAGCCCUGGAUGAAAGAGCCUUUAGGGAUGCCACUGCCCUAAAAAGCCCACAGAAAUGAAUGGGAACAGUAUUACUUGACUUCCCAUUUUGCGUCUAUCCUUCUUUGUAAAAACACCAGUGAAUGUGAGCUGCAGCCAUCAUUCUCCAUCAGCCAGAAGUGAUUUCCUGAGUGAACAU